rnacentral:rRNA from 1 species
AACGUAGGACACAAACGUUAUCCGGAGUUACUGGGCGUAAAGGGCGUGUAGGCGGAUCGGUAAGUCUACUCUGAAAGCUCCUGGCUAAACUGGGAGAGGCGAGUGGAGACUGUCGGUCUAGAGUGAGGAAGAGGAAAGUGGAAUUCCGCGUGUAGUGGUGAAAUGCGUAGAGAUGCGGAGGAACACCAGUGGCGAAAGCGGCGACCUGGACCGACACUGACGCUAAUACACGAAAGCGUGGGGAGCAAACAGG